UACGAAGGGUGCUAGCGUUGUUCGGAAUUACUGGGCGUAAAGCGCGCGUAGGCGCUUAACAAGUCAGAGGUGAAAUCCCCAGGCUCAACCUGGGAAUUGCCUUUGAAACUGUUAAGCUUGAGUGUCGGAGGGGAUAGCGGAAUUCCUAAUGUAGAGGUGAAAUUCGUAGAUAUUAGGAGGAACACCGGUGGCGAAGGCGGCUAUCUGGACGACAACUGACGCUGAGGCGCGAAAGCGUGGGGAUCAAAGCAGG
rnacentral:rRNA from 1 species